rnacentral:rRNA from 1 species
GGCGGACGGGUGAGUAACGCGUGGAUAACCUGGCGUAUACAGGGGGAUAACACUUAGAAAUAGGUGCUAAUACCGCAUAAGCGCACGGUUCCGCAUGGAACAGUGUGAAAAACUCCGGUGGUAUACGAUGGAUCCGCGUCUGAUUAGCCAGUUGGCGGGGUAACGGCCCACCAAAGCGACGAUCAGUAGCCGGCCUGAGAGGGUGAACGGCCACAUUGGGACUGAGACACGGCCCAAACUCCUACGGGAGGCAGCAGUGGGGAAUAUUGCACAAUGGGGGAAACCCUGAUGCAGCGACGCCGCGUGAGUGAAGAAGUAUCUCGGUACGUAAAGCUCUAUCAGCAGGGAAGAAAAUGACGGUACCUGACUAAGAAGCCCCGGCUAACUACGUGCCAGCAGCCGCGGUAAUACGUAGGGGGCAAGCGUUAUCCGGAUUUACUGGGUGUAAAGGGAGCGUAGACGGCAGCGCAAGUCUGGAGUGAAAUGCCGGGGCUCAACCCCGGAACUGCUUUGGAAACUGUGCAGCUCGAGUGCAGGAGAGGUAAGCGGAAUUCCUAGUGUAGCGGUGAAAUGCGUAGAUAUUAGGAGGAACACCAGUGGCGAAGGCGGCUUACUGGACUGUAACUGACGUUGAGGCUCGAAAGCGUGGGGAGCAAACAGGAUUAGAUACCCUGGUAGUCCACGCCGUAAACGAUGAUUACUAGGUGUCGGGGGGCCAAGGCCCUCCGGUGCCGCCGC